rnacentral:lncRNA from 1 species
AUGGCGUGGAAAACUCUCCCACGCACGCGCACACACACACACACACACACACACACACACACACACACACACACACACACACACACACACACACACACACACACAGCCCUACCAGCCCUACCAACUAGUAGUUUAUUGAUUUUCUCUAGAAUGUUCUCUAUAAAUCUGAUUUCCCCAGUGUUCUCUAUAUAUCUGAUUUUCUCUAGAAUGUUCUCUAUAAAUCUGAUUUCCCCAGUGUUCUCCAUAAAUCUGAUUUUCUCUAGAAUGUUCUCUAUAAAUCUGAUUUCCCCAGUGUUCUCUAUAAAUCUGAUUUCCCCAGUGUUCUCUAUAAAUCUGAUUUCCCCAGUGUUCUCUAUAUAUCUGAUUUCCCCAGUGUUCUCUAUAAAUCUGAUUUCCCCAGUGUUCUCUAUAAAUCUGAUUUCCCCAGUGUUCUCUAUAAAUCUGAUUUCCCCAGUGUUCUCUAUAAAUCUGAUUUUCUCUAGAAUGUUCUCUAUAAAUCUGAUUUCCCCAGUGUUCUCUAUAAAUCUGAUUUUCUCUAGAAUGUUCUCUAAAAAUCUGAUUUCCCCAGUGUUCUCUAUAAAUCUGAUCUUCCCAGUGUUCUCUAUAAAUCUGAUUUUCCCAGUGUUCUCUACAAAUCUGAUUUUCUCUAGAAUGUUCUCUAUAAAUCUGAUCUUCCCAGUGUUCUCUAUAAAUCUGAUUUUCUCUAGAAUGUUCUCUAAAAAUCUGAUUUCCCCAGUGUUCUCUAUAAAUCUGAUCUUCCCAGUGUUCUCUAUAAAUCUGAUUUUCCCAGUGUUCUCUACAAAUCUGAUUUUCUCUAGAAUGUUCUCUAUAAAUCUGAUCUUCCCAGUGUUCUCUAUAAAUCUGAUUUUCCCAGUGUUCUCUACAAAUCUGAUUUUCUCUAAAAUGUUCUCUAAAAAUCUGAUUUCCCCAGUGUUCUCUAUAAAUCUGAUUUCCCCAGUGUUCUCUAUAAAUCUGUUUUUCCCAGUGUUCUCUAUAAAUCAGAUUUUCUCUAGAAUAUUCUCUAUAAAUCUGAUCUUCCCAGUGUUCUCUAUAAAUCUGAUUUCCCCAGUGUUCUCUAUAAAUCUGAUCUUCCCAGUGUUCUCUAUAAAUCUGAUUUCCCCAGUGUUCUCUAUAAAUCUGAUUUUCUCUAGAAUGUUCUCUAUAAAUCUGAUUUUCCCAGUGUUCUCUAUAUAUCUGAUUUUCUCUAGAAUGUUCUCUAUAAAUCUGAUUUCCCCAGUGUUCUCUAUAAAUCUGUUUUUCCCAGUGUUCUCUAUAAAUCUGAUUUUCUCUAGAAUGUUCUCUACAAAUCUGAUUUUCCCAGUGUUCUCUACAAAUCUGAUUUUCUCUAGAAUGUUCUCUAUAAAUCUGAUUUUCCCAGUGUUCUCUAUAUAUCUGAUUUUCUCUAGAAUGUUCUCUAUAAAUCUGAUUUCCCCAGUGUUCUCUAUAAAUCUGAUCUUCCCAGUGUUCUCUAUAAAUCAGAUUUUCUCUAGAAUGUUCUCUAUAAAUCUGAUUUUCCCAGUGUUCUCUAUAAAUCUGCUACGAUAA